ensembl:lncRNA
CAUGAAACCUGUCCCAGAGUAUCUACAAACAUUGAGCUGAAUGCUAAGCCUGGUUUGAAGAGUUAGGCGAAGGUUUCUGGUCCAGAAUGGAUAACUGUGAUUUAGAAAAGCUUUCAGUGGAUGGUGUAAAACUCUGUCCUCCGUUCCAGCCCGAAAUAACCCUCUAUACAGCGACUGUUCCGAGCAACAUCAGCACAGUGACACUCGACCUGCUAACGAGCGACUGCGGGGCUUCCUAUAGGAUAUUAUGUGGUGAUGGGUCAAGGACAGUAAAACUGGAAGACGGCUUAAACCAAGUGGACGUUGAGGUGACAUCAGAGGAUGGCACGCUGAAGAAAUACAGCAUCGAGCUGACCAAGCUUUCGGCCAGUGAAGCCAGUUUGAGUGCCCUCAUUAUAAAGAGACAACAACUCCAUCCUGCAUUUUCUCCAGAUACUCACGAAUACUCAUGCCAGGUGAAUUUUGACCGUCAUGUGGUCACUGUGGAAGCCCAAGUGCCUGACCACAACAUGCAGGUCACAGUGAAGGAGGCUUGCAGCUCCGGGUCUGUGAGGUUAAACGUUGGAGACACGCUGGUCACUGUCAACGUCUCGUCACCAGAUGGCACCAAUUCCCAAGUGUACACAAUCUUGAUUACUCAGGAACAGAUUCCUUUAGCCGUCAGCUUUUGUGAGAUGAACGAUCAGAAGGAGUUUGAGUGUCCCGUGUCUUUAAGUGCACUUUAUAGGCCUUUUUCAAUAAAUCAGAGUGACCCAAAGGCCGUUUUCUCAGCCCCAUAUAUUGACAUGCUGACACGGAGGUCGAAGGUGCAUCCGUUUACUGACAGACCUUUGGGAGACUCAUGGAAAGUUCCAGAGAGUGAACUCAACAACAGAAUGUCUAGUGCAUCUGUCAAAUGUUUCUUUGCGCAUCGUGGUUGUGAAAGCGUGCUGAAGCUUGCAGAGAUUGGAGCACACGCAAAAGGCUGUCCCAACAGACCACCAGUCAACCUGGAUACGAAGGAGGUCACUGAAAUGAGCUGGUACAAAAAACAUUUCACAUCCUCAAGAAGCCUGGAAAUUGAGACAAAGCACUGUCUUCAGGUUCGAAACUGGGAGAAAAGGCUUCAGACUGCAGUGGACGAGGGCAAUAUAGACGACUUGUGCGGUCAUGCUGAGAGCCAGAUAAAGCUGUACAAAGAACAGCUUCCCAAACCAGGUGAUAUGAUGCAGUAUGAGGCAGGACACUCACCUCUGGAUUAUUUGGAACAGGCAGCCAUCCACUAUGCUACUGCCAUCAAAUUCAAACCCAGGGAUUACAAACUGCAUUUCCUGCUUGGAAAGACUCUAGAGGAAUACUACUAUGCUACAGAAAUGUAUGGCCUGAAAAAGAGGGUUCUUGAGGAAGAUGACCAGAAUCUUAAUGAAGCCCAGACAACAGGGAGGCAGGAGGAGAUCUUGGCCAUUUGCAGGCUUCAUGGCUUCUUGGGAACACCCACAGUAGAAAAUCAGCUGAAAGCCCUUGACAAGGAGUUCCACCAGCUGAAAGAGCAGGGCCAGUCAGGGAAGGCUGAUUAUGUCCAGACUCUUUUCAUCUGGCUUUCCAAAAAAGGUGGAAAGGACUGCAAGGCUGGAGUGUGUGAUGAGGAGGGCUGGCUCCACAGAGCCUUUCUGAAGUACCUGGACGCCUGGUCUCUGAGUCCAGAGAAAUGGGAGUUGAACCUGCAGGUGGGCCGCCUGCUGCUCUUACAGGGGAAGAGCAGAGAGGCACUGCAGCAUCUACUUUCUGCACUGGCCCUCGCACCCUCACAGGUGGUGCUCAGGUUCUACAUGGGCCUGGCUAUCCUGCAGCAGAAUGGAGUAUCAGUGGAAGAAGAGCGAGAGGCAAUUUUGUUCCUCCAGCAGGGCCUAGAGUAUGUUAUGGACCAGUACUUUACCUCACCAGACCAAGACCGAGAACAGAAGCAGGAUGCUGAAUAUGCUCUGUCCACUGUGAAUGUCCAAUUUCUGAGAGGCUGUCUCAGUCUGGGAGCACUGCUGUCCAAACAUAUGACCUCAGGGCAGAAGAUUUGUCCAGUGCCGGUCUAUCACACUGUUGCUUUGUUCGCUGCUCGAGCUGUUAGCAUGUGUGUUGGUUGGGGUGAGCUGAUUCAGCAGUUGGAGUGGGUGCUGCUCGAUGCCCACUUUGCUUUGCUUGAAGUCCUCAUGCAGCAGCAGAGCAUGAACAGGCAGGUGUGGAUCGCUCAGAGAUGCCAGGCACUCACUGCUCUGAUACGGCUGUCUUGCAUCGCCCCCUGCAGGGAGCUCCUGGACAUGCAGGAGAAAGUUUGUGAAGUGGGGGUGAUGACCACACCCCGCAGCAGCGCUGCGCUUUGCCUGCUGGGCCUGAGCCAACUGGCCCAGUAUGACAGUGACCCCAGCUCAGAAAGUGGUCAGGCAGCCAUGGCCGACGCCUGCCUCAGUUUUCAGGCUAGUAUCGCAUUGGAGGGAUCGGAAUUGACUGGAGAUCCUCCUGAGCAACUGACCAAGCAGAAGUGGUGGAGGGACCAUUUGGCUAAAGAGAAGAAGAAAACAGACAGGCAGGCCAGCGUUAAGGCCACAGAAGCAGCUGGACCUCCUGAGGCCACAGCAGCUGGGAGAGCAGCUGGAAGAGGCAUACGUGCUGUAGGCCGAGGUGGAGCCACAGCCAAGAGCGCGGCAUCUGCCCCAGCACGUGGGGUCAGGACUGCUGCAGCAGCCAAACAGUCUGGCCAAACAGCAAGAGGUGCAGCCGCUAAGAGUGAUGGUGGAGGGAAGAGUGCAGCCAAGGCGAGUUCUAAAACUCAGCUGUCUUCCUGCAAGUCCAAACAGGAGUGCAGCCCUCCACAGGCUGAGCCAGCAGCAGCAUCAGUAAAAGAGGAGAGCAGUCUCAGUGGAGCGGCCACGCCAGCCAUUAUGAACGUGAAGUCGCAUGCUCCUCGGCUGGGAUUAGCCAGGGCCCUGUCUCGCUCCUCAGACUCGCACCAGCAGGCCUGCUGUCUCUACGAAGAAGUCAUCGCCAUGGCCCAAGAGGUCCACGACGCGUACAUUGAGCUGGCGAACCUGCUGGUGAAAAGUGACCCUUUGGCUGCUGUGGACGUUUACAGCAGGUUCCCCUUAAAGCCUGUUAAUGAACAGACGUUUGAUGACGCCUUCAUUACAGGGGAGAUUGUUCGUAUCCUCAUGAAACAAGAGCUGUUUGAUCACCCACAACUGGCCCCUAACCUGAUUGCCUAUGGAAAAGUCAUGGGGCUCAGUUGCCUUGAAAAGUACAUUGACAUACUGGAUGGGAAGUUCAUGACCAGCCUGCUGAAGACUGUUUACGCAGGAAUUCAUGACAAAUCAGUGGAUGACGAGGACCUUCGAGAGUUUUUCAGAUUUAAGUGCUGGAUAUGA